AUUGACAUGCAAGUCGAGCGGCAGCACGGGUACUUGUACCUGGUGGCGAGCGGCGGAGGGUGAGUAAUGCCUAGGAAUCUGCCUAGUAGGGGGGAUAACGUCCGGAAACGGGCGCUAAUACCCAUACGUCCUACGGGAGAAAGUGGGGGAUCUCGGACCUCACGCUAUUAGAUGAGCUAGGUCGGAUUAGCUAGUUGGUGAGGUAUGGCUCACCAAGGCGACGAUCCGUAACUGUCUGAGAGGAUGAUCAGUCACACUGGAACUGAGACCGGUCCAGACUCCUACGGGAGGCAGCAGUGGGGAAAUUGGACAAUGGGCGAAAGCCUGACAGCCAUGCCGCGUGUGUGAAGAAGGUCUUCGAUUUAAGUUGGGAGGAAGGGCAGUUACCUAAUACGUGAUUGUUUUGACGUUACCGACAGAAUAAGCACCGGCUAACUCUGUGCCAGCAAAUACAGAGGGUGCAAGCGUUAAUCGGAAUUACUGGGCGUAAAGCGCGCGUAGGUGGAUGUGAAAGCACCUGGGAACUGCAUCCAAAACUGGCAAGCUAGAGUAUGGUAGAGGAUUUCCUGUGUAGCGGUGAAAUGCGUAGAUAUAGGAAGGAACACCAGUGGCGAAGGCGACCACCUACUGACACUGAGGUGCGAAAGCGUGGAGGAUUAGAUACCCUGGUAGUCCACGCCGUAAACGAUGUCAACUAGCCGUUGGGAGCCUUGAGCUCUUAGUGGCGCAGCUAACGCAUUACCGCCUGGGGAGUACGGCCGCAAGGUUAAAAAUGAAUUGACGGCCGCACAAGCGGUGGAGCAUGUGGUUUAAUUCGAAGCAACGCGAAGAACCUUACCAGGCCUUGACAUCCAAUGAACUUUCUAGAGAUAGAUUGGUGCCUUCGGGAACAUUGAGACAGGUGCUGCAUGGCUGUCGUCAGCUCGUGUCGUGAGAUGUUGGGUUAAGUCCCGUAACGAGCGCAACCCUUGUCACGUUAUGGUGGGCACUCUAAGGAGACUGCCGGUGACAAACCGGAGGAAUGACGUCAAGUCAUCAUGGCCCUUACGGCCUGGGCUACACACGUGCUACAAUAAGGGUUGCCAAGCCGCGAGGUGGAGCUAAUCCCAUAAAACCGAUCGUAGUCCAACUCGACUGCGUGAAGUCGGAAUCGCUAGUAAUCGCGAAUCAGAAUGUCGCGGGCCUUGUACACACCGCCCGUCACACCAUGGGAGUGGGUUGCACCAGAACCUUCGGGAGGACGGUUACCACGGUGUGAUUCAUGACUGGGGUGAAGUCGUAACAAGGU
rnacentral:rRNA from 1 species